rnacentral:lncRNA from 1 species
AGGGCCUUGGUCAAGGAAAGGACAAGAGGAAGUGCUUGAGAGAGCCAGAUCAAUAUUGACCAAGGUGCAGGUAUCUUGGGAACAGGAUGCCACAGAGACACUGCCCAGAGCCCAGAAGGCCCAAGUUAUGCGGAAGGCUGAGGUGAUGAGCUGGCAGAGUGGUGGCCCUGAGCAGAGGCUGAGUGCUGGCAUGAACAGUGUCUUGGGAGCAUGACAGCCCUCACCAUCCCCGUCUGUUGCUCCUCGAGCCACCUGUGCCUGAUGGGGCCCUCGCACUUGGUUCCAUGUGUCCUCGUGGUAACAGCACAGGGUGGGAGAGAAGGGACACCUCUUGGCUGGUGCCACUGCAUAUUGGGAUGUCCUAGGAAGCACUGGCCUAGCCACACCACCCAGGGCUCUUCAGGACUGGGCCAUGUACAGAAGGCUUUGUAGGGAGGGCCCAGGAUCUUGGUCAGGAGCAAGGUGCUGGCUGAGCCUCCCGUGGUGGCCACUGUCCUUUGCCCCGGUGGUCAGGGAGCUCAAAGGCACCAAGGGCCUGUUUCUAAGCUGUGCGUGCACUGGCUCAAGGGGGGAUGGCGCAGUUUAUUUAAGAUAAGCAUCACAAGGCACAUCCUGUGCCUGUCAUCCCCAACUGGACUCCAUGAGACAGCAUGACACUGGCUGCCAUGGGAAGAGCAAGUCAAAGUAAGCACCAUACACACACAGCGCCCAUGACAAACAGCACCCAGACACCUGGUUUCCAGGGCCAGGAGGCAGUGCCCACCUGCCCAGAGCGGCCAUACCCUUUACCAAGAGGUGGCGCUGGGCCCACCAUCCUCCCCAGUUUGCCUAACUGGGCAACAGGGGAGGCUCCUCAGUAGCAGGUCUGAAGACAGGCGCUGGUCUGACAACAGGGAAAGACAACAAAGCAAGUGAACCUCCUGAGACUUCAGUCAUUGAGGAUGCUGCAUGGACAGAGUGCUGAGCACCAGGCCAGAGGCCCAGGCAGAGGAAGUGGGCCCAGUCCUCACCCUGCUGGAAGACUCCAUUUGGUGGGCAUCUGGCUUCAAGUGCUUCAUAGUCCUUUCACAGUCCCAAAUCUGACAUUUGGCCCAUGCCCAAGACUACCAAAGUCAUUUAUCUCCAGCACUUCCUGCAUCUCCAGAGGGUGGUCUCCAAUACCUACUGGAGACUGUCAACUCAC